CCCAGCAAAUUACAAACUGUGAAAGGCGGUCCCUGUUCGAGCUCUUGGUCCUGGGUUGGGAGAAGCCGCCACUGACGUUGUUCCCUUCUCUCCCAGAAUCUUCCCCCUCCACCCUCUCCUUCAGUCUUUCCUCCCUUCCUGCAGGUCAUGACUCAGGUCCUGUGUUCAAACUCAGGUUUUGAUGACAUUUUUUUCCUUCCUUGUUCCAGCUCCGUGGGACAUCUGCCCUGAGGGACAAGCUCCAGGCUGGAGGGAGCGUGGAUGCUCUGUUAAGAGGGUCUGCUGUUACAGUGCAACCUCCUGAACCCCUGGCUCAUCCCACAGCCCACCGUGCGGAUCCGUCUACACCCGCAAGAUGAUGGCACAGCAUUGGGACUGCAGACUGACCCUCAGAUUGGCCCCACCUGGAGUUCACUCUCAUGACAUUGCCUUCUUAGAACACAAACUGUGGUUUUACAAAUCUUUCAACAAGCAGUGACAUUCCCCAUAACUUCUGGUCCAGGUGCGUGCCUAGCUCAUUUCUACAACCGACUAACUUUCUUUCAUGAUAAUUAAGAUAGGAAAUACGUUAAUUCAUGGUUAAAAAACAGGGAUGAGAGACGAAAAGAUGAUGUUUGCUAAUUCUGAAUUCACCCAGCUCCUCUGACUGCGAAGCUACACUGAUUUAUGUUUCUGUUAUCAGAGAGAAAAAGGCAAUUGUGCUAGCUCAUUAGCAGAUUCCGGCAGGCAUUCAGUGCAGAAUGACAGAGCACCUGCUUUGGAUCAGAUACUACAUUAGGGAAAAGAAAGACUACCAGACACGACAGCCUGGAGUCACUCACUGAGCAGUGCACCCAUCUGUGAAGACGAGCUUUCCUGCAAACUCGCCAUCUGGGGUCGUUCUGAAUCAAGCUUUCAUUCUCACCUCUCCUACCAAGGAAGGCAGGACCUCGAGGGACGGAAAGGCUCCCACAUCUGCAAGUCCCUGAAAGCUCCUGAAUGGCAAAUUUUCAGUCCUGGAGAGAAGUCCCGUGUUCCCCUGGCAUGCGUGCUGUGGUCCAUGCACACAAAGCAUCUUCCAUGAGCAUAUCAUGUAUGUCAGACCCAGCAUAAAGGUAUUUACUUAUUUACAUUUUCCCUUAUGGCUGAUUUUAUUUUCCU
rnacentral:lncRNA from 1 species